GAGAACCUUUGAUAAAAUUCUUCAAAUGCUAACUGCAAGUUGUUCGUCGUUUUAUUCUCAUGAUUUAAGAUUCAUACUUUGUUUAUGUUUCUCAGGUGAAGUACUCAAGAGAGCCCGACAAUAUUACCAAAUGUAAUUCAUUCUUCUUCUUAAUUGCAUUUUAUUUGUUCUAGAUGCAAGCCACCGGCCACAGCCGCCAUCUAGGGUUACGCUUUUCCUCCUCCCAACCCCAUCAAUACCCCAAACACUCUUGCCUCCGCCUCCUCACCACUAACCCAUACCGGAUUGAUGCAAAUAAAACAACACCGACGAGAUUUGAGGAACCCAUAGCGCAAUUAGGAGUGUAGUCACAUUGGAGUCACAUUGGACACACUAUUAUUGAAUAAAUACAUACUUAAUAUGACUACAGUCAUGGUUAAUUGAUCUGUAGGUUUUUUUUUCUAAUUUACAAUGAUGCUGAUGGUUGGUUGAAGAAUUGAUACAUGUGUUUUUUCGAUGUAUAUGUGUGGCUACAAGUUGACUUGCAGUAACAAGAUUCAAAAUUGUGAUUUUUUUU
rnacentral:lncRNA from 1 species